UUUUCCUACCGGAGGCAGCAGUAGGGAAUUUUCGGCAAUGGGGGAAACCCUGACCGAGCACGCCGCGUGAGUGAAGAAGGCCUUCGGGUUGUAAAGCUCUGUUGUAAGGGAAGAAGAGAUCAUAGAGGGAAUGCUAUGAUUGUGACGGUACCUUACCAGAAAGCCACGGCUAACUACGUGCCAGCAGCCGCGGUAAUACGUAGGUGGCGAGCGUUAUCCGGAAUUAUUGGGCGUAAAGGGUGCGUAGGCGGCACAUUAAGUCUAAGGUUAAAGUUCGAGGCUCAACUUCGGAUUGCCUUAGAAACUGGUGAGCUAGAGUGCAGGAGAGGGCAAUGGAAUUCCAUGUGUAGCGGUAAAAUGCGUAGAUAUAUGGAGGAACACCAGUGGCGAAGGCGGUUGCCUGGCCUGUAACUGACGCUGAGGCACGAAAGCGUGGGGAGCAAAUAGGAUUAGAUACCCUAGUAGUCCACGCUGUAAACGAUGAUUACUAAGUGUUGGAGAAAUUCAGUGCUGCAGUUAACGCAAUAAGUAAUCCGCCUGGGGAGUAUGCACGCAAGUGUGAAACUCAAAGGAAUUGGCGGA
rnacentral:rRNA from 1 species